UGGGGAAUAUUGGACAAUGGGCGAAAGCCUGAUCCAGCCAUGCCGCGUGUGUGAAGAAGGUCUUCGGAUUGUAAAGCACUUUAAGUUGGGAGGAAGGGCAUUAACCUAAUACGUUAGUGUUUUGACGUUACCGACAGAAUAAGCACCGGCUAACUCUGUGCCAGCAGCCGCGGUAAUACAGAGGGUGCAAGCGUUAAUCGGAAUUACUGGGCGUAAAGCGCGCGUAGGUGGUAUGUUAAGUUGGAUGUGAAAUCCCCGGGCUCAACCUGGGAACUGCAUUCAAAACUGACUGACUAGAGUAUGGUAGAGGGUGGUGGAAUUUCCUGUGUAGCGGUGAAAUGCGUAGAUAUAGGAAGGAACACCAGUGGCGAAGGCGACCACCUGGACUAAUACUGACACUGAGGUGCGAAAGCGUGGGGAGCAAACA
rnacentral:rRNA from 1 species